AAUCGCCACCGUAGAGGAACUCGAGGAGCGAUUCCACCUCCUCGUGGCUUAACUCCGGCAGCGUAAUGGCUUCUAUUGGAGCCGCCUUGCAACCGUCCGAUUCGAUAGGGCUCUGUGAGCGGAAACGGAACGGGACGCGGCGAAGCCGGAUUUGAGUUCAAUAUCGGUGUGAAUCCGGUGGCGGAAAGCAGCCGAAAACUCGCCGAGGAGGAGGCAACAUUAAUGGUCGCUUUAUUCACUGGUUUAUCAGAUUGAAGCUUGUUUAUGAGAUUGAUCAGACACUUAGCUCCGUCGUAGCACGCCCCACAAAUGGUAUUCCGCGGCGGCCGCAAUAUCACCGGCAAGGAGCUGCAGAUUGAGCAGUCCAUAUUCCCUCUUUUCUCCUUCUUCUACAGAGAGAAUUUUCCAAAUCAGCAGCAACCAGAAGAGGGUUGAAUUUGAAACCCAAUGUCUUGGGUUUAAAGAAACAGGAAUAAGGUGGUUGUCUAUCUCUCUCCUUUUUUUAUUUAUUUAUUUUAUUUUAUUUAGUUGGUGCUCUCAACUUAAAGGCAUAAAAAUAAAUAAAUUGUUGAACAAAUGGAAAUUGAGUUUGUUAAAUAAUUAUUGAAUAAUGUUUGUUGGUUUAUCCUGUAA